AAAGAGAAGCGGGACUUUCCUUGCUGUCUAUUUUUUCUUCGUCAGGCCAACGCCGCUUGCUUGCAGGGGCGCAGGCGAGUUCCCGCCAAAUGGCGCGGGUGCGUGAGUUGCCGCCAAAUGCUAGCUCUGGAUGCCAGCUCGUUCCGCGUCUCAUGGUAGACUAGUUGGUGCAUUUCUGUUAUCAUGGACUGCGCUUAUAAACGCAAGCUACACAAAAGUGACAUGGACAAGAACAGCGCAAGCCCUUUACAUGCAGUGGAGCCGCCGUAUCUCGCCGUUCAAGAUAUGCGUACUCGAAGAAAAAAAAAAAGAGGCUUUACAUGAGAACGGAUCAAGCGUUCGAGAGUUGGGACAGGGAAAUGUGAGACGUACUUUCAUGUAUAUAUUUCUAAUAUUAUUUUUUCGUCUUGUAUUCUCGUUAAUUUUUCUCUAGGAAACACUGGAACGACACUGCUUAAAUUGAAGCACAGUGUGCGAAUGACCUGCUACGCUCGGAACUGUUAUCACCAUUCGGGAAGAAAUUGGAUGAAAAAACAUAACUGUAAAUACCUGUAUGAUAUACGUCUGGUGCAUUGCAGGUAAGAAUGGAUUGUGUGUGGCGCGCUUCACCGCAUGUGGACUACAGUAGAUCUAGGAACAUCAGACAAGAAGACACGUAUGUGAAACCCUGCGGAUAGCCCAUAUGUAAGUUCUUCCUCAAUUUUUCUUUUGUUGCAUUUUCGUAGUUUACGUGUAAUACUUUGUCACCGCGGUCUCGACGUUAUGUAUACCUAUACAUUUGUCUCGUGGCAGUCUGCGUGCUAUUUUGUUUGUGCAACUAUGUGUUGUAUUCAUUUAUCGCGCUGCCUGGAGGGUUUUUUUUUUUUUCACUGAUAUUCCGACCAAAGUCGGUAAACCUAUCCUUCCUGUCCUCAUGUUUCCUUGGGCGGCUCUAAAGCGUAUCUUAGAGGAAUAUUUAGCUUCAGAUUCCCGCAUGGAACAGAUGGUGAAUGACAUGCUGUGUUUUCUUUUUAGAGAAACUAUGUAUUCAUGUUUAAUAUUUGGUUGAUUUUCAUUUUGUCAUUCAUACAAUACCGCAGCCAUAUGCCAUUCUGUCAUAGAACGUUGUUUCUAGAUAUAUUUGUUUUAUGUGGUUAAAACAUUUAAAACGAGAGCGUUUCUUAUCCUGGCCAUUAUUUUUUACAGACCACGAUAACCACGUAUUUGGAUGUCUGGUUUAACUCUACGUGCGCUGGUUCGUGCAGGUGAACUUUUUUUCCAGAUACGGAGGAACGGACACCGGUCGUGCCGUGAGCACUAUUCUGCAGGGCAUACUUACAAAUGAAGCUGCACUGCAGUUCAGCUGGAAAGGGUCGCAGGGGAGGAAGCACGCCUUCGUGAAGCUCAUGGCCAUCACGAAUAUAACAUCUGUGAGGAGCACGUUCCCUGACGCUUCACUAGCAUCAGUGGCUGGAGUCGCAAAACGCUGGUUGGUUGGAGCAGCUGACAGGGAUGGAGGCCGGAAUGAAAGAAGGCGCCGUGACCCUGCUUCAAGCCCACCAAAUAUGAACUAGUGUUUGAAACUUGUGAACGUGUCGGUGUACAUGUACAAUUACAAGAAAUAAAGACCUGUAUCAGAA